ACGCUGUGGAAACGGCAUUCAGCCAGAACAUCGGUUCCCUCCGCUGGUGAGAAGGUUUUAAUCUACACAACCAGAUUGCCUCCGAGACUUUCCAGUAUGGAUAAAGUGAUUUUGUUGCUUUUUGCUGUGUUUGCGGUGUUUCAAGUACAGGCCGCCCCAGAACUGUACAAACGGCUAUUCCGAGAUGAAGCGUUGAGAGACUUGUUCUACGAGCUGGAGAACCUACCACGGGAACGAGUCAGCAAUGAUUUUUUCGACGAACCAGCCAUGUCGCGCGAACGAUUACGGGAUGGUAAGACAUAACAAAUUUAAAAGUGAUUAUGUAAGGGCCCAUUUUUUAAAUCUUAAACAUUGCUUACAUAAACAACGAAGGCCAGAGUCACGCAUAAAGUAUAAAAAUCCGAGAGCAGUGUCAAGUAAUGGAAAUUAUUUCCAGAUGAAUCGAAAUUCAGAUAGUGUCGCAAAGUUUGGCAGCUUUAACGUCAAUAAUUGUCUGUGUUCCGCUUAAUACCAAUUGCUAGUCUAUUUGCAAUCUUGGCGUGAAAUGUCCGUUUUUGGUUUGUUUGAUUGCCGUAUAGCACGUGAACUUUAAAGUGAAAGGGGGGCAGGGGACUGAAUUGCAAAAAAAUUAACACAAGGAAUUUUUCACCCCCCCCCCCUUUUUUUUUCUUUUUGUAUACAAAGAUAUUUUCUCAUGGGAAUUGUUUUCUUGCAACAUAAGGCUGAAGUGACUGGAAUAUGAGUUACUUUUGUUAUGCUUUCGUGAGAAAUGCACGUAUUUAAGAAUCAGAGUAACCAGCAGGUAAGCAUUUCGAAAACAGUUGUCUCGUUGCAGCUGGCAAAUUGUUUUAUCAUUUAAUGUUCCCUUUUUUCCAGGAGAAAACAAAACAAAACCAACAAGUGGGCGGUAGGGUGUAGUCGCAUGGCAUACUGAGUAUGCCAUACUGCACAGGGGGUGGGGAGGGGGCUGCGUUGAAUCGAAGGGUUGAUCUCAACCAGUCAGCAAACAAUCUCCACCUAAAAAAAAAAAAAAAAAAAAAAA